rnacentral:tRNA from 1 species
GCCGGGGUGGCGGAACUGGUAGACGCGCCGGACUCAAAAUCCGGUUCUGGAAACAGAGUGAGGGUUCGAUUCCCUCCCCCGGCACCA